CGCAGCAGGCUGCGGCCAUAGCCCACGUCACGUGCUUCUGCCGGCUGCUGGGCAGCAGGGAAGGGCUGCCCGGGGCGACGACGUCGUUGGCGCGUCCAGCCUCGUCACGCGUCGCCCGCAUGAGCGUCAGGCCUCUCGUGACCGCAGCGGGUCGCCCACGUGAUGUCCGACGUUUCGCUCCCACAAGCAACCGGGGGCAGAAACGCAACACAACGCGCACGUGACCGGAGCAACAUGAGCGAGGCAGCGGUCAUCCCCAUGCGGCUGCGGUCUAUGGAGCGAGAUCGUGGACCAACAGGAGAAGAGGGAGAGACGCGGAGGGAGAGAGAAUGGGGGUGGACGAGAUGGGGAAGAGAGGAGGGGGAAGAGAGUGGCGGACAGAACGCACCGCGGUUUGGUGCCAAAGCGAGUCGACAACGGCGAGUGGCUCUGCAGUGGCUGGAUGCGGAUGCCAAUCGGAGCAUUUCCCCGGGAGGGAUUCACCAGAAUGUCCAACGUAAUUGCUGCAACAAGCAAGCAAGCAAAUAAAUAAAUAACUCGCGUAUAUGCAACGUAUGGAUCCGGGGUGUGUGCAUCGCGCUGUCUGGUGGGUGUCCUUUGCAGAGCAAGAGGGAGGGGGCUGUCCCUUCCGAGGAUCACGUCCGGUCUAUGCAGCAAAAUAAAGGGCUGAGUGUGCUCCGUUAAUCGUGAUGCAGCGGGAGAAUUCCUGGAAAGAGUGGCGAGAGUCUAUUACACAAGUUAUGCUCGGCGAACAAGCGGAUAUCCAGGUUCAAAAAGCCUGCUCAGCUUCCGAGAUGUGACGAGAUCGAGAUCUGACGAGAUCGAGAUGUGACGAGAUCGAGAGCGCUGGAAAUG